rnacentral:lncRNA from 1 species
AGAAAGAGGUGGUAUCACAGACAAAUGCACUUAGAGACAUCCACUCUCAAUGGUGGCAGCAACAGAGAGGCGAAAGUAUUUUAGCUGACUCUUUAUACCCAAAGAUUUUUGUCCUUAUCCACAUAAACUCCCAUUCCUCAGGGCUGGCAUGGAAAGGGUGAAAAAUUAAGUCAACCACAAUGUUUACAGUGGUUAACUCAGGUGUGAUGCUUAAUUUUAUGCGUCAACUUGAUUGGGCUGUGGGGUGCCCAGGUAUGUGGUCAAACAUUAUUUCUGGGUGUUUCUGUGUGUCUUUGAAUGAAGUUAAAUUUAAAUCAGAACACUGAGUAACACAGAUUUUCCCCCAGUAUGUAGAUGGGCCCCAUCACAUCAGUUGAAGGCCUGGAGAAAACAGAAAGGCUGACCCUCCCUUGAGAGUAAGAGAAAACUCUUGUGAUGGCCUUUGGAUGAUCAGCUGUUUUCCUGCCUUCAGAUCCAAACGGAAACAUUGGCUCUUCCUGGGGUUCCAGCCUGCUGUCUUGACGGGAACUAUACCAUCAGCUCUCCUGGGUCUCUUACAUGCCAAGUCAUCCUGCAGAUCUGGGACUCACUCCAUAAUCAAGAAUGCCACCAAUUCAGCACUUAAAAAAUUCUGGGCCAGGUGUGGUGGCUCACACCUGUAAUCCUAGUACUUUGGGAGGCCAAGACCGGCAGACCACUGGAGGCCAGAAGUUUGAGACCAGCCUGGCCAACAUGGUGAAACCCUGUCUCUACUAAAAAUACAAAAGUUAGCCAGGUGUGGUGGCACACACUUGUAAACCCAGCUACUUGGGAGGCUGAGGCAAGAGAAUUGUUUGAACCCAAGAGACAAGAGUUGCAGUGAGCCGAGAUCAUGCCACCUCACUCCAGCCUGGGCAACAGAGCAAGACCCUGUCUCAAAAAAAAAAAAAGGCUAGGCACGGUGGCUCACACCUAUAAUCCCAGCACUUUGGGAGGCCAAGGCAGGCAGAUCACCUGAGAUCGGGAGUUCGAGACCAGCCUGACCAACAUGGAGAAACCCUGUCUCUACUGAAAAUACAAAAUUAGCCAGUCAUGUUGGCAUAUGCCUGUAACCCCAGCUACUCAGUAGGCUGAGGCAGGAGAAUCGCUUGAACCUGGGAGGCGGAGGUUACGAUGAGCCAAGAUUGCGCCGUUGCACUCCAGCCUAGGCAACAAAAGCGAAACUCCGUCUCAAAAAAAAAAAAAAAAAAAAGUCUGCCAUGUUUUCCAGUUGCCUUCGUACCUGUCUCAUAUAAUGGGAAGAUUCUGGAGGGCAGCAAUGGUGCUUUGCUGUUUUCAUAUAUCCCUUCUUUAACCCAAGAAUCUUUCCUGUAAUAGAAUUUCAAAAAUGUAGAAUCCAGCUGAGUGUUUAUCUUUGUUCUGGAUUCUCAAGCCAUUUAAAGGCAGCAGGCUGUCAUGAUUUUCCACACAAAAGGGCAGAAACGGGAUUAACACAAUAGGAUGCUGUCUCUACUCUCAUCUACCCUGUCCAAGGAAUUUAAUUUCCUAUAAGCCUACCUCCAAUUCUCCUUGGGAAGUUAUAUUUAAGAACCUUAAUGCUUCAGACCCUCUUUUGACAUUAAAUCUUUGUCUGCUGAAUGCUAACAAUCUUGAGG